UAAGUUCUUCAGUUGUCUCUCUCACAUUGACUUCCACAGUACAUCUUCAUCAGUUUCUAUCAAUGAAAAAUCAAUUGCAGGGAAAAGAAAUUGAUAGUCACUGACGUUUCGCCUCUUGUCACAAGGAUGCACACCAAAAUGUUCUCGACAUAGUUCUACAGCAAUGAAAGGUGGGGAAUUGAGACUUGAAAUUGCAGCUCGACCACUGUUUCCAGCAUUUGCCACCAUCAGUGGCAGUGCAUCAGUCCUAUCUGUAUAGCUGUCACCGCCAAAAACUCCAACAGCUGUUUGCAAUGUCCUUAGCAAAGGAGAUGCAAUAACCAAAUCAAUCCUCUUGGAAAGCCCACAUGUGCGAACAUGCCUACGCAAAUUGUCAACCUGCUGCCAACCCAGUUGAGUAAGUUGUGCAUCAAAAUAUUCGGGAGACAAGCAAGCUUUGUAGUUCUUAUCUCCCUCUACAUUGUGCAUCCCUUGUGCAUGCCUCACCUGGAUGCAUGGUUUUAUAAGACCAGAAUGCCUUGUUUUGCGAGCAAAAGCCAAGAAAGAAGGCAAUCGUGGACGCCC
rnacentral:misc_RNA from 1 species